ensembl:lncRNA
GUGACUGAAGCGCCCGCAGGUGCCUGUGCCUGUGUAUCCCGACAAUAAACCAAAUCCUCUUGCUGAUUGCAUCCUGUGGUGUCUCGGUCUGGUCUUUGGAGUUAGAGGGUCUCCAUCCCGAGGGAAAGUUCUCCCUGAGAGCUUUUCAUUUGGUGCAUUGGCCGGGAAAGGAGAUCCUCCACCCAGGGACCACCGACCACCCACUGGGAGGUAAGCCGGCCGGCGUCUGUCUGUCUGUCUGAUUUUGUCUCGUUCUGUCUUAUUCUGUCUGUUCUGUGAGCGCUCAGCCAGGUUCUGUGAGCGCUCAGCCAGGUCUGUUCUGUGAGCGCUCAGCCAGGUUGUUUGGAAUUUGGGCGGGACGAAGAAGGAGCUGACGAGCUCGGACUUCUCGCCCCGCAGCCCUGGAAGACGUUCCAAGGGUGUUGGGGCCCGACUUUUCGGGGCCCAAUCUGGGAGAGGAGAAAGAUCCGGACUAACGGCACUCUGUCUGUAUUUUUGGCUUUCAGAGGGCCCCGGACCUUUGCCACCUCCAUCUGACUUUUUGCUUUCAGUUUGGUACCAAAGCCGUGCAGCACGCCUGUCUGUUGUUUGUUUGACUGUUGGUGUUGUUUGUUUUCUCUGUGUUCUAAUCUUCCUUAGAACUAACAUGGGACAGUCCCUAACAAUGCCCCUAAGUCUCACUCUUGAUCAUUAGAAAGACGUCCACGACCGGGCACACAACCAGUCCGUCGAGGUUAAAAAAGGAAAAUGACAGACUCUCUACACAUCCGAGUGGCCCACUUUCGGAGCGGGAUGGCCAGUGAAUGGCACAUUUAAUAAGAUCAUUAUUUUACAGGUUAAAGAUCGGGCCGUCCACGGACAUCCUGACCAGGUUUCUUAUAUUAUCACUUGAGAGAGAGUCUCGCCUUAAACCCCCCCCCCCCGGGCGGAACCCUUCGUGGACCCGAAUUGGCCUCCCCUCAACCCCCAGCCUG